UCAGGGGCGGGACGAGGCGAGACGACCAUGAAGUGCGCCGGCGCCUGGCCUCCUCACCCGCCCACAGUCUCCCACCACCCCGCCCGUCCUCCCCAAGACCCCUUCUGAGCCUAUGCCACUGUAUCUGAGGCGGUUCUGGGGGUCGUAGAGUCCUCCGAGUCUUCCCUUUCAACUGUUAUGUCGCUAUGGCCGUAAGUCAGUGGAACAAAGCUGGGGCAGCCAGGCCAGAUGCGAGAGGGGCGAGCUCUGGGGUCCUUGCUGACUGGUGAGCAGGCCACAGGGACGCUGGAGAGUGUAGAGCAUCUGAAAACUUCGCUGAGGAAAAGUUAGUCCCUGUCUCUGGGAAGGGUGACUGCCAGCCAGCAUUCGGUGUAAGGACAGCGUGAGGACCUCACAGUGCCCCUCUGCCAUGUGCCACUCUGCCUUAGAGCCAGCCAACUAUGGAUUGAAACCUCUAUGAAGGAUUCUAUAAAUGAGGAAAUGGCCACACGGCCAGUCUUCUUUUUCAUCUGAUCCAUUAUAAAAUAAACUCAGGUCAAGACUCAAUCUCCAAAGAAGACAACCGCUUCUUGUGAGUCAGAAGCAGCCAUGUGGGCCAGAAGGAGAAGCAAGAAGCCAGUCCCUUCCCGUGAGCCAGUCAGUGGCAGCCAUAUGUGCUGGAAGAAGAAACAAGAAGCCAACCCCUUCUCAGUGACAGUUGUGGGGCUACCAAGAGGGAGAAACAAGCAGCCAUCUCCUUCCUAUGAAUCAGAGGCAAUCAUGAGCCACCAGGAGGAGAAACAUGAAGCCAGUCACUUCUUAUGAUGCAAAAGCAUCCAUGUGGGCCAGUUCCUUCCCAUGAGCCAACCACGAGACCCCCCACCCGUGUAAGCAACUGGCUGAUUCAGAGAAACACAGACUGCAGUGAGAGCUACUGAAGAAAACAAACAAAAAAAAAAAGCUUUGUAGUGUUUAGUAUUUGAUUGACUUUGCAGGCCUCAAGCUGGUAAUCUGAGCACCUAUUUAGAUGAUAAUGAUACGCAAUAUAGCAACCAUGAGGGAUUUCCUUCUGAAGGUGGUAACCAUUGUUGAUUCCCUGCUGUCCUGUUUUAAAGUCUGGUAUCACUUUCGUUAUUUUGUUUUGUUUGAUUUUCUUCUGUUUUGUUUUGCUUGAUUUUUAUUAUGUCUGGGUGGCAUGGGCAGCUAUUUCAAUGAUAAUAAGAUAUAUUGUGGUAGCCAUUGUUUUCUAUUUUCUUUUUCUAUUAUCAGAUUAGAUAAUUUAUUUUCUAUUAUCUUUUUUGAGGCCCUGGAUCACUUUCAUUGCUGUGUUUUGAUUGGCUUGGUUCUGUCUUGUUUUAUUUGGUUUUAUUAUCUUUCAAAUAAAAAAAUUAACAAGACUUGAUCUGCAUAUGCCCCAUUCUAACUGACACCAUGAUAGCACUUGGGUCUCUGAAAAUCAAUUUAUUAAAAUCCAGUAGAAUCUCUAAGCAUUUUCCUUUCUUACUGCUCUGUUUCCUUGACAAAUGUGGCAGGUUCCUCUGGGACAGUUCCCCUAGGCUGGAUGUACACAGUGUGUGCCAGUUACAAAAGAUAUCUCCAUAGGGACUCGGCUCCCUUCAGCCAAGGAAUCUGACAUCUGUGAACCAAGAACUCAAUAUUUAGAUGUGUGAAUUGGAUAUUUAUUUAUCCACUUUUAAACACUGCAUACUGUUCCUUAGCUGUGUGGCAAAAAUCAUGUAGAUCACUAAAUUUCUUUAAAAAAUUCUCAUGCUAUGAUCUGAAUGUUAGUAUCCCCCAAAAUUCACAUGUUGAAACCAAAACUCCCAGUGUAGUAGCACUAAGAGGUGGAGCUUCUAGGAGAUGACUAGAUCAUGGAGAUGUAACUUCAUAAAAUGGGAUAUUGCCUAAAAAAAGAAAUUUAAUGGAGCAAGUUUUCACUUUUCACUGUGUGAGGACACAGUAGAAACCAUUUUUAAAGCAAAGAACAAGCCCUUACCCAGCACUGAAUCGGCACUAAUUUUGAACUUUCCACCCUCCAUAUGUAAUAAAUUUCUGUCCUUCAUAAAUUAUGUAAUCUGGUACAGCAACAGGAAUGGACUAAUAUGACUUGUUAGGAAUAUAAUCCAAUGUGCUACCUAUGAAGCAUUCAUCUGAAAGCAACAUAUGUAAAAAUCUAUAUGAAAGAGUAUUAUUUAAAUAAAGAUAUAUACACCUACUGUGUGCCAAAA